rnacentral:lncRNA from 10 species
AUCGCCCCGCCCACACGCCGCCUGCCAGGCGUGAGUCUUCCUCCCGCUCUGCGCCGUCGCCCCGCCCACACGCCGCCACCCUCGCGUCAGUUGUCGCUCCGCGCCUGCGCCCGUUGUCUCCCUGCUCGCUCCGGGUCCCGGCGCCGCGCCAUGUGGGCUGCGGCGGGCGGGCUGUGGCGCUCCCGCGCGGGUCUCCGGGCCCUGUUCCGUAGCCGCGAUGCUGCGCUAUUUCCAGGCUGCGAGCGGGGACUUCACUGCUCUGCUGUCUCCUGCAAGAACUGGCUCAAGAAAUUUGCCUCGAAAACCAAGUGGAUGAAGACCUGAUCAUUGAAGUUCACCAGUUAUUUUUCUCAAGAAUGUGAAUAACAAUGGGAUUUGCACUCAUUAUAUUUUUAGAAUGGCUUCGCAUAAUUUUCACAAUAGCGUUUAUGGCAGCAUUUAGCGGACACAGAAGCACAUCUGAAAGUGGAGAGAGACGCGUUUCCCCAUUGCUGGCCGAGUCCCACCACUUUGCUCAGCUAUGAACACCUGACAUCUCGUUUCAUUUUCAUGCAAAAUCUGGAGAUAAUUAUUAUCCACAAUUCUAAGGCCUUAGGCCCCUCCGCAUGAGCCUGCCAUUACCACUUCAUUCCCUUGCACCUGAAAGACUCCAGAGCCCCUUGAAAGAACAGGUCCUCCAAGAGGAGCAUCGCCAGCCAGCCCCUGAAUCUCCUGAGGAAACUCUCAUGCACAUAUCUUGACCUGAGCACAGACCGGACGCCAGCGGAGGGCAGGAGCAAGCAGGACACACUGUGGCUGAGGAGGGGACCCUGGGCUUGUGGGCCUCGGAGAGGCAGAGCAGGGGAGGCAGAUGAGACUGCACACAGCUUUUUGUUUGACAUAUCCUAAGCCCCCUGCACACGCCACUCAAGGUCUUCUCUGUGCCCCAUCUGGUGCAGGAGGCCUGUCUGUCUGUGAAAUUGCUUUUAGCAAUAGCUGUGGAUCACCACUGAGAGGGUGAAUAUACAAAUGAACAAUGGGCAGACCGUCUAUGAUGGCAAAACUUGGACCUCCAACCUUGAGGCCAAAGCACAUCAUGUGCGGCCUCUGGCGGGACUCAGGUCUGGGAAGCGACUGCAGCUUCCCUAUUUUCUAGCUCUGCUUCCAACUAAGAAAGUCAGAUAUUCUCCCCAAACCAACCCCAUAGGAUGCCCGCUGCCAGGUGGCCCACCCCCAGCUUCCCCCUGACAACAGCCUCCACCCAGGGCAUACCCAACCAGAGCCUUCCCAUCUUCUAAUGGGAAGCUUCCCCUCCCCACCCCACCUUCAAGGCUCUGCCACGCGCAGGGACAGUGUAGCCUUCUUGGCUACAGCUUCGAGUGAGCAGCCUCUGCCAUCCUCGCUGAUGUCCCCGGUUACCGUGAAGGCUCCUCCAGGACACUGUCUGCACUGCCUGUCGUCCAGACCCCACCUCUGCCCAGGCACCCUGGCCUUAAUGCUGCAGCCCACAGGGCACCCAGCUGGUGACUGAGGCCUGUUCUGAGCCCCUCGCUGGCACAUUCCUGGACUUCUCAGUUUGGUGCCAGGGCCUCAUUCCUGCUUCCCAUUUGCUCUGUUACAGGGGAAUUAGUCCCUUCCUUUACUCUUUUGUGCUGUGCUUUCUAAACGUGGUGUUUGUCAUAAUAAGAAGCAUGAGGGGCACAUGGAUCAGCCUCACAGACAGGUGAGUCUGUAGCUCUUACCAGACCCUUGUUCACAUCCAUGAACUUGGCUGUGGAUCACCAGGGAAACUGGGUGAGGUUCUGCCAUCCAGGGGUUUUGUCCUGAGAACUUGGCUUUUAGAACAUUCUCUCUGGUUUUUUGCUUGGGGGUGGGGGUCUGGUGCAGGGUGCUGGGUCUGUGUUUGGAGGAGGCCAGCCCGUAGGCUGGGGGCCUGAGACACUGUGCACUGGCGUGAUGCGUCUGCCGCCCAUCACCAGCUUGCAGGGGCAUCCACGGCUGAAUCCUCUGCUCUUCCAGGAAAGACUUAUGCUUCUCAUGGUCCUAGUUCUCAUGCUGAUCUUUCUACUUGGCAAAAUUCACCAAGGGUGACUUGGGUUUUUGGUGGCAACUCUGGGAACAUUUGGCUUGAAAAAUUGUUCAUUUAAGAGAUUCUUUAGAGAAGAAAAUGAGUAAGAUUCCCUAGGCCUAAAUGCAGAGGCCUCCAAAUGAAUUUCUGAAUAAAAAAGUAUUUCGCUAA